UUUACAUUGGCGGCAAUUCAUCUAAUUAAAGGNAACUUGUUUAAUAAUCGAUACAUCACGUUAAAUUUCACUUAAAUUAUAUAAUUUAUAUAUCGCCAUCCUAAGAAUCAAUUUAAAUAAAAUAUUCUAAAUAUUUUAAAUAUCUAUUCAUAUAAAAAGUUAGGUCAAGGUGUAAUUUACAUAUAAGAUAUAAAUGAGUUACAAUAAAUAUUACUUAAAAAUUAUUAUUAUAAAAAUUAAUAUGAAAGAGGAUUUAAUUGUAAUACUUUAAUAAAAAUUAAAUAUGAACAAGACAAAAAUGUGCACAC
rnacentral:rRNA from 1 species